rnacentral:rRNA from 1 species
GACGGAGGGAGCAAGCGUUGUUCGGAUUUACUGGGCGUAAAGGGCGUCUAGGCGGAUCGGUCAGUCAGGUGUGAAACCCCCCGGCUCAACCGGGGAUCUGCACUUGAUACUGCCAAUCUUGAGUACGGAAGAGGAAAGCGGAAUUCCUGGUGUAGCGGUGAAAUGCGUAGAUAUCAGGAAGAACACCGGUGGCGAAGGCGGCUUUCUGGUCCGAUACUGACGCUGAAGCGCGAAAGUGUGGGGAGCAAACAGGAUUAGAUACCCUGGUAGUCCACACCGUAAACGAUGGAUACUAGGUGUCGGGGGUAUCGACCCCCCCGGUGCCGCAGCUAACGCAUUAAGUAUCCCGCCUGGGGAGUACGGUCGCAAGGCUG